rnacentral:rRNA from 1 species
UACCUGGCGGCGUGCCUAUCAUGCNAGUCGAGCGAACGGACGAGAAGCUUGCUUCUCUGAUGUUAGCGGCGGACGGGUGAGUAACACGUGGAUAACCUACCUAUAAGACUGGGAUAACUUCGGGAAACCGGAGCUAAUACCGGAUAAUAUUUUGAACCGCAUGGUUCAAAAGUGAAAGACGGUCUUGCUGUCACUUAUAGAUGGAUCCGCGCUGCAUUAGCUAGUUGGUAAGGUAACGGCUUACCAAGGCAACGAUGCAUAGCCGACCUGAGAGGGUGAUCGGCCACACUGGAACUGAGACACGGUCCAGACUCCUACGGGAGGCAGCAGUAGGGAAUCUUCCGCAAUGGGCGAAAGCCUGACGGAGCAACGCCGCGUGAGUGAUGAAGGUCUUCGGAUCGUAAAACUCUGUUAUUAGGGAAGAACAUAUGUGUAAGUAACUGUGCACAUCUUGACGGUACCUAAUCAGAAAGCCACGGCUAACUACGUGCCAGCAGCCGCGGUAAU